rnacentral:lncRNA from 1 species
UGCAUUCGAGGAGUUCUACUCUUACGAAAUUGGAAGUUUUAAGUAAAAGAGUAUAUGAACAUCUUAAUCUCAAUUUGCUCUUGACGAUUUCGAACCGAAUAUGAUGGAUUAAUUCGGUCGAGUUUGAUCUAUUGAGGUGGCUUGAUGCAUAUAAUUAAUUAAACUCAUACAUACAUUGAUCAGCUUCUUUUUAGUUCUUUUUUUUUUCUUGGAUUUUUAUGCAACUCACCAUAUAUAGAAGAAAAUCACAAACAAAAGGUCGAAGGUUAAAGAACUUAAUUAAAAAGGUCGG